rnacentral:rRNA from 1 species
AUUUAACGCUGGCGCCAGGCCUAACACAUGCAAGUCGAGCGGAUGAAGGGAGCUUGCUCCUGGAUUCAGCGGCGGACGGGUGAGUAAUUCCUAGGAAACUGCCUGGUAGUAGGGGAUAACGUCCGGAAACGGGCGCUAAUACCGCAUACGUCCUGAGGGAGAAAGUGGGGGAUCUUAGGACCUCACGCUAUCAGAUGAGCCAAGGUCGGAUUAGCUAUUUGGUGGGGUAAAGGCCUACCAAGGCGACGAUCAGUAACUGGUCUGAGAGGAUGACCAGUCACACUGGAACUGAGACACGGUCCAGACUCCUACGGGAGGCAGCAGUGGGGAAUAUUGGACAAUGGGCGAAAUCCUGAUCCAGCCAUGCCGCGUGUGUGAAGAAGGUCUUCGGAUUGUAAAGCACUUUAAGUUGGGAGGAAGGGCAGUAAGUUAAUACCUUGCUGUUUUGACGUUACCAACAGAAUAAGCACCGGCUAACUUAGUG